rnacentral:lncRNA from 1 species
CAGAUUUCAAGGGUGGCACACAGAUGCCACCUCUUAAUGGGGAUGUGUCCAAGAAUUUGUAGACAUAUUUGAAACCACCACAGUUUGGGAGAAAGCAGAGCUUGCUAGUUGUCUAACUACGUUCCAUUUUUACCUUCCUAGUAACAGAAUCCCUAUGUUAUCAGUUAACUCAGAUUUUUUAAAAUCUACUUUUCCUGGCCUCCAUAAAAGAUGUGUGUCCAAUGAGAAGAAAGGAGAAGUCAUUGGAUGAGCCUUUGGGAAAGUUAUUUUAUAAACUUUAAAGAAUCUUCAUAGGAUAGUAUACUCUUCUAGAAAGUGUCUCUUUCCCCUUCUCCUCUUCUUUAUUCUCCCUGCCUGGAAUGCAGAUGAUAGAGUUGGAGCUCCAGUAGCCAUCUUGAGACCAUGAGGCAAUCCUGAGAAGGAAAGCUACACAUUAAGGAUGAGGGAGCAGAAAAAUUAAAGAAUACCAGGUCCUGGGAGACAUUGUGGAGCCAACAUGCCUACCCUGCCUUUUGAAUGUCAAGUUAUAAGACAGUAAAAUACAUGUCUAUUAUAUUUGGUGGUGUCUGUCACCAAAAUCAAUCCCUAACUGACACAAGCGAUCAGAAAGAGUUAGAUCAGAAAGGAGGAAAUGUAAUUUUUUUUGGUAAAGUAAUAAUUGCACAAGCAUUUGCUAAAAUGAGAAGGAGGUUGCCAGAUAAAGUAAGGAAAGACCUUUCAUGCAGAGGGAACAGUAUGGUUAAAAUAUCAAGGAAACCACUUGAUCACUUUCUCCUGAAAAAAUAACAUAUAUUAGAGUGGCUUGGUGAGGUUACUUCAAAUUAUAUUUGAUGAUUCCAGAGGAAGAAAUAGUAGAACUUCAGGUAUGCUGAGAAAGUGAUUUCUCCAACACAUCUCUGCUGAGAAGGAGGGGCUGAAGGAAAAGGC